rnacentral:rRNA from 1 species
UGUGUAGGCGGGAUAGCAAGUCAGAGGUGAAAUCCUGCAGCUCAACUGUAGAACUGCCUUUGAUACUGUUAUUCUUGAGUAUCGGAGAGGUCGCUGGAAUUCGUGGUGUAGCGGUGAAAUGCGUAGAUAUCACGAGGAACACCAGAGGCGUAGGCGGGCGACUGGACGAUUACUGACGCUGAGGCACGAAAGCGUGGGGAGCAAACAGGAUUAGAUACCCUGGUAGUCC